UCAAAUGUUAAUUUUACAAGA
rnacentral:piRNA from 1 species